GGCAAAAGAGGAGCGGAAGGAGAGAAGUACUGGUCUAUGACUCGGGUCAUGGGGAUGGAUGGAUCUCUCGGUAAUGGUGGAUCCAGAGUUCCAGACUCAGUUCAUCUUAUAGGCUUAAUUCGUACUGUAUCAUUUUGAUGAAUACGUUGCCCCCCUAUUUUUUCUACAAUCAAGAUGAUUUUCCUCUGUGGGGUAUGCAUAUCAUCUUCUUUCGUUUUCAUUAGAACAUAUCAUAUUUUGUUUGAGAGGCAGGUACAACGAUGGCAAAUAUUUGUUUUCAUCAGAAGUAUAUUUUCAUGAGAUACAAUGGCAAUCAGGCGGCACAUGCAGAAGAGUUGUGGAAGGUUGAUUGAGAAGUCAUAAGGACUGGGUGAAGCAAAAUGCAAUCUCCAAGUUUCAGGUUUCAAAAUGAGAAAUUGGAGCAUUGAGACCUUUGAACUGAAACCUAAAU